UCGAGAUUUCAAAAAAAAAAUGGGAAAAGAAAUCCUUUCGUGGGAUUUCAUGGCAUUGCAAUUUCACAAGAAACAAGCUUGCCAUUUCAAUCCACGGAGUAACUUAUCCGUCGUUCGCUCUAGAGUUAUUUGACUAAUCUCCCUCUCUGAUUCGUUCGGUCGUUAGUCGUCCCUAUUUUGGAUCAUUGGAUCAUCCCUUCUCAUUCUCUGUUAUUGUGGGCUUUCCAUUGGUGCCCGCAUAAAUCUGUUUCAAAGAAAAAAAACCCUCGCUUCAGGACUUAUUUUUACGCCGUGAAUGAUAAACUAAUGUCGGAUCUUCGCUGCCAUUAUUAUCGUAACUACUGACAUAGCUAAGAAUGGAAGCUACAAUAAGGUAUCGCCAGCCGCCCGGAUUGACAACUGGGAUAUUCAAAACUCCCUCGUCCAUUAGCAAUGCCUUUAGCAGCAGUCGCUUGGCACCUGUGUGAUGUAAAUAGGCACCUAUCCAAAAAAAAGGAGAAGACCAGACCUCUAGUUGACGCUUGCGGAAGGGAACGAUGCGAAACGAUUUGAAUGAAAAAGAAGGGGAGUGAUUCUCAGUACCCAGAAGACCGCCUCCAUUCACUUUGCCGGUUCAGCUAGAACUCAGAGCCUGAUCAAAAGCGCGCAAAAGUUUCGCAGAUCCUUUCAGGGCAGGGGAGCUUUGAUAAACUCUGUAGGAUUGAAGCUUUUUUUUUUUUUACUACUAAUUAAAUUUUCCUUUACAAAAAAGAGAACUUUUAGGCAACAUCAUAUAUUCAAGAUCGUUUCCUUUAUUUGA